GGUCAGGAUGAACGCUGGCGGCGUGCCUAACACAUGCAAGUCGAGCGGAGUUAUGAGAGGUGCUUGCACCACUUUAACUAGCGGCGGACGGGUGAGUAACACGUGAGUAACCUGCCCUCGAGUGGGGAACAACAUCGAGAAAUCGGUGCUAAUACCGCAUAAUAUCUCUUUGCCGCAUGACAGAGAGAUCAAAGGAUUUAUUCGCUUGAGGAUGGACUCGCGUCCGAUUAGUUAGUUGGUGAGGUAACGGCCCACCAAGACAUCGAUCGGUAGCCGAACUGAGAGGUUGAUCGGCCACAUUGGGACUGAGACACGGCCCAGACUCCUACGGGAGGCAGCAGUGGGGAAUAUUGGGCAAUGGGCGAAAGCCUGACCCAAGCAACGCCGCGUGAAGGAUGAAGGUCUUCGGAUUGUAAACUUCUUUGAUCAGGGACGAAACAAAUGACGGUACCUGAAGAACAAGCCACGGCUAACUACGUGCCAGCAGCGGC
rnacentral:rRNA from 1 species